GUCCACGCCGUAAACGAUGUCAACUAGCCGUUGGGAGUCUUGAACUCUUAGUGGCGCAGCUAACGCAUUAAGUUGACCGCCUGGGGAGUACGGCCGCAAGGUUAAAACUCAAAUGAAUUGACGGGGCCCGCACAAGCGGUGGAGCAUGUGGUUUAAUUCGAAGCAACGCGAAGAACCUUACCAGGCCUUGACAUCCAAUGAACUUUCUAGAGAUAGAUUGGUGCCUUCGGGAGCAUUGAGACAGGUGCUGCAUGGCUGUCGU
rnacentral:rRNA from 1 species